rnacentral:rRNA from 1 species
GAUGAGCGCUAGCGGCAGGCCUAAUACAUGCAAGUCGGACGGGAUUGAGGAGCUUGCUCUUCAUGAGAGUGGCGCACGGGUGCGUAGCACGUAUGUAACUUACCCAUAUCAGGGGGAUAGCCUCUCGAAAGAGAGAUUAAGCCCGCAUAAAAUCACACUGUGGCAUCACAGAAUGAUCAAAUAUUUAUAGGAUAUGGAUGGGCAUGCGGAACAUUAGCUAGUUGGUAAGGUAACGGCUUACCAAGGCUACGAUGUUUAGGGGAUCUGAGAGGACGGACCCCCCAACUGGUACUGAGACACGGACCAGACUCCUACGGGAGGCAGCAGUAAGGAAUAUUGGUCAAUGGACGGAAGUCUGAACCAGCCAUGCCGCGCGCAGGAAGACGGCCCGACGGGUUGUAAACUGCUUUUGUACGGGAAUAAACCUACCGACGUGUCGGUAGAUGAAUGUACUGUAAGAAUAAGGAUCGGCUAACUCCGUGCCAGCCGCCGCCGUAAUAC